ensembl:misc_RNA Metazoa_SRP Metazoan signal recognition particle RNA
GCCGGGCGUGGUGGCUCACGCCUGUAAUCCCAGCACUUUGGGAGGCCAAGGUGGGCGGAUCACCUGAGGUCAGGAGUUCGAGACUAGCCUGACCAACAUGGAGAAACCCCAUCUCUA